rnacentral:tRNA from 1 species
GGGAAUGUAGCUCAGGUGGUUAGAGCGCUGGGUGUGCGCACACAGAACAAGACAGAGGUCGCUGGUUCGAAUCCAGCCAUUCCCC